GACGAACGCUGGCGGCGUGCCUAAUACAUGCAAGUAGAACGCUGAAGAGAGGAGCUUGCGCUUCUUGGAUGAGUUGCGAACGGGUGAGUAACGCGUAGGUAACCUGCCUCGUAGCGGGGGAUAACUAUUGGAAACGAUAGCUAAUACCGCAUAACAAUGGAUGACACAUGUAAUUUAUUUGAAAGGGGCAAUUGCUCCACUACAAGAUGGACCUGCGUUGUAUUAGCUAGUAGGGGAGGUAAUGGCUCACCUAAGCGACGAUACAUAGCCGACCUGAGAGGGUGGUCGGCCACCCUGGGACUGAGACCCGGCCCAGACUCCUACGGGAGGCAGCAGUAGGGGAUCUUCGGCAAUGGGGGCAACCCUGACCGAGCACCGCCCCGUGAGUGAAGAAGGUUUUCGGAUCGUAAAGCUCUGUUGUAAGUCAAGAACGGGUGUGAGAGUGGAAAGUUCACACUGUGACGGUAGCUUAACAGAAAGGGACGGCUAACUACGUG
rnacentral:rRNA from 1 species